ACUACUAGUAGUAUGAGUAUUACUAGUUUUACAUACUACUAUUAGUAGUAUUAGUACUAGUACUAGAAGUUCUAAUUCUACUAGUAGUAC
rnacentral:tRNA from 1 species